AUGUAACUAUGGAGAGGACUAGUAUAUUAACAUGUAACUAUGGAGAUGAGGUGGAGAGGACUAUAGGGAGUAUAUUAACAUGUAACUAUGGAGAGGACUAGUAUAUUAACAUGUAACUAUGGAGAUGAGGUGGAGAGGACUAUAGGGAGUAUAUUAACAUGUAACUAUGGAGAGGAGAUG